rnacentral:rRNA from 1 species
UGGGGAAUAUUGGACAAUGGGCGCAAGCCUGAUCCAGCCAUGCCGCGUGGGUGAUGAAGGCCCUAGGGUUGUAAAGCCCUUUCGGCGGGGAAGAUAAUGACGGUACCCGCAGAAGAAGCCCCGGCUAACUUCGUGCCAGCAGCCGCGGUAAUACGAAGGGGGCUAGCGUUGCUCGGAAUUACUGGGCGUAAAGCGCACGUAGGCGGCUUCUUAAGUCGGGGGUGAAAUCCUGGAGCUCAACUCCAGAACUGCCUUCGAUACUGGGAAGCUCGAGUCCGGGAGAGGUGAGUGGAACUGCGAGUGUAGAGGUGAAAUUCGUAGAUAUUCGCAAGAACACCAGUGGCGAAGGCGGCUCACUGGCCCGGUACUGACGCUGAGGUGCGAAAGCGUGGGGAGCAAACAGG